AAGACUAUACUUUCAGGGAUCGUUUCUAUAGUUUGUUACUAGAGAACUUUCUCUGACGUGUAGAGCACCCGAGACCACAAGGAGGAGGAGCAGUGUUCUCUCCUGAGUGGGAAGCUGGCUCUUGGUGUUGCUUUUGCGACUGCUAUUAGCCAUUGGUGAUCAUUCUUCUCUUCCUUUGGGAGAGUAAGAGGGAGAGAACGCAGUCUGAGUGGC
ensembl:snoRNA U3 Small nucleolar RNA U3